rnacentral:rRNA from 1 species
GAUGAACGCUGACAGAAUGCUUAACACAUGCAAGUCGAUGGGGAAGUGGUGCUUGCACCAUGGUAACCAUGGCGGACGGGUGAGUAACGCGUAAGGAACUUACCUGCGGGACCGGGAUAACAGCAGGAAACUGCUGACAAGACCGGAUAAGGUCAUUAAGCUGCAUAGCUUAGUGAUGAAAGGAGACGCCUGCGGAGAGCCUUGCGUCCUAUUAGCUAGUUGGAGGGGUAACGGCCCACCAAGGCGAAGAUAGGUAGCCGGCCUGAGAGGGUGGACGGCCACAAGGGGACUGAGAUACGGCCCUUACUCCUACGGGAGGCAGCAGUGGGGAAUAUUGGACAAUGGGGGCAACACUGAUCCAGCAAUUCUGUGUGCACGAAGACGGUUUUCGGAUUGUAAAGUGCUUUCAGCAGGGAAGAAGGAAGUGACGGUACCUGCAGAAGAAGCGACGGCUAAAUACGUG